rnacentral:lncRNA from 1 species
AGUGAAUUGGUGCAAUCGCCAUUUCUUCUGCAUUUCCAAAAUUUGCUAAGAAAUGCAAAUGGACAGAGAUGGUGACCCAAAUCUGUAUCGAUGCCCAAGCAUUAUUCCCACUCUUCUGCAGAAUCUCCUCCCUCAAGCUCCUUUGUGGACUGGCCUCCUCCUGGGUUAGUCUGUAGUAAACACAGCCUGUUCCCAAUUAAAGUCCAAAACCUUUUAUUCUAGCUCUGUGGUGUCCUCUACAUAAAUUCCAAUGCAUAAAUUGGGGUUAUUGUCCCAUAAAUUCAUUUCUUUCCCACCUACCCUAUCCUCAGGUGACCUGGGACGCCAUGGGAAAGGGACAGUUUAUUUGCAGCUGUCGAAUAAAUUUGAGAAAGCAGCAAGUACAGCGAAACAGAACUACACACAGGACAACAGGACCCAAGGGAUCAUGGAGAAGAGCCAGUGGGACUUGAAGAAAGUCAGGCUCCAGGGCAGGCGCUUCAAGAGGAUGGACGAUUUUGUGGCCAUUCAUAAAGUCAGCACCAAUGCCCUGCUAAGGGAAUAUGCUGACUCACUGAAGGAAAGGAGGAAGCAGAAGAGACAUCAGGUGGAAACUGAGAAAUGGAAACACAGAAGCCAAAGGAAACGGGGAGUGUACGUGGCACCAAGGAAGAAGGCAUUUACCUUUCAGACAACAAAGAAUGCUGAACCUUUGAGCACUGCUGACUGCCCAUCUGAAAGCCGCCCAUCCUCACCCCUCGGCCCUGUGAACGUCCUUCACCUGUCUUCACCUGAACAUGCAAGUGUUCAGGUGAAUGCUGAUAGGCCAGGUGAAAGCCACUUGUCCUCAUCUGACCUGCACGACCAACAGUUAACCUUACUGUGGAGAAAGAGGUCGACAGAGGUGGUUGUUGCGGUACUGCCUUCUCAAAUUAAGGGUCGGAGCAUCUAUGUACACCACUCAGAGCUGCGUUCACUACGGCCACACCUGUGGUUGACAGGAGAGAUAAUUCAUGGAUUGAUGCAUCUCAGUGCCUACACACACAAUGUGGUAGACACCAUCUACCUGAUGGACCAUUACACGGCAGGUGUGAUUUUGUCUGGUGACAGGGCCACAGUACGCCGUCAAAGCUUACCUAAGGUAAACUUUGAAAACUAUGAAGCGAUGCUGUCAUUCAUCCAUGUGAAUGGGAAUCAUUGGAACAUGCUGGUUUGUUGCCUUCUUAAUUUUCACUCAGUAAGAUGUUUGUUAUCACAUCGUGAAAUAAAGUAUUAA